rnacentral:snRNA from 1 species
AUACUUACCUGGCAGGGGAGAUACCAUGAUCACGAAGGAGGUUUUUCCAGGGCAAGCCUUAUCCAUUGCAUUCCAGAUGUGCUGACCCCUGAGAUUUCCUCAAACAUGGGAAACUUAACUGCAUAAUUUAUGAUAGUAGGGACUGCAUUUGCACUCUCCCCAU